rnacentral:rRNA from 1 species
GGGAAUCUACCCUGAUCUGCGGAAUAGCUCCGGGAAACUGGAAUUAAUACCGCAUGUGCCCUGAGGGGCAAAGAUUUAUCGGUUCAGGAUGAGCCCGCGUCCGAUUAGCUAGUUGGUGGGGUAAAGGCCUACCAAGGCGACGAUCGGUAGCUGGUCUAAGAGGAUGAUCAGCCACAUUGGGACUGAGACACGGCCCAAACUCCUACGGGAGGCAGCAGUGGGGAAUAUUGGACAAUGGGCGCAAGCCUGAUCCAGCCAUGCCGCGUGAGUGAUGAAGGCCCUAGGGUUGUAAAGCUCUUUCAGUGGGGACGAUAAUGACGGUACCCACAGAAGAAGCCCCGGCUAACUUCGUGCCAGCAGCCGCGGUAAUACGAAGGGGGCUAGCGUUGUUCGGAAUUACUGGGCGUAAAGCGCACGUAGGCGGACAUUUAAGUCAGGGGUGAAAUCCCGGGGCUCAACCCCGGAACUGCCUUUGAUACUGGGUGUCUUGAGUUCGGAAGAGGUGAGUGGAAUUGCGAGU